CAUUAUAAUUUAUUAAAUUCAGUUUAAAAAAAUAGUUUGGUUCUUUGCGCAUGCGCACAAAUGCACAUUUUCCCUGGUGCUAAAAGGAGUUUCCAGUCAGGUUCACGGUGACGGUGGGAAAGGAAGACGGGAUAUUUCAGCCCCGGAGUUUUGCUCAGUCGGUCUAUUUGCACAGACAGUCAACAAGAUGACUUAUUGAAAGACCUGGAAAACAUCACCAUGGACAUAUGUGUAAUCAAAAAGAAAGAAGGUGUUCUUGGCGACUAUGACGAUAUUGGAGUCGUUGUUGGAGUGAUGAUUCUUGAGCAGCUCAAAUCUGUGGCACAAGCCUGCAUUGAUGCUGGGUACAAUCUAUGUGCUUAAUUUGGCGUACCCCAAAGAACUAAAAUACUACUUUUUUUGAAAUUUUUUAGAAAUUCAUUAUGCAGAUGGAUUCUAAAGCUCUCCCCAAAAAUUCAAGGACUGAAAAGCAGACAUGUAUGUGCAUGCUCAGCAUGAAAUGUUAGUCCAGAUGUCACAGUCUACUCUGUUUAUCAUUUAAGACCUGGGAAUCCGUAGUUUUAAACAUUUUAAUAAUGCUUUUAAUGAUUCAUAACUGUUGUCUGUAAAAAUGUAACACUUUUUUUAAAAAUAAUUAUUGUGCAAUGUGUGAAGUCAGCACUACUGUU